GUCAGUUUGAGUUUGGGUGGCACCUUCACUGCUGUUUUUCUGUGCUCUGCCGAAGGUCAUUGUCUCUGCUUUGCAGCCUCCUUUCCCUCACUAGCUGCUGCUCUACCUCUUUAGGGUCCUAUACACUAACCCAUCCUACAACAGCUGAUCUGCAAUCUCAGUCGUGGGACUGCGCGUGGCACCACACAGCAGAUACGAAUGCCGCAGCACGGUGACCGUUACAUCCGUAUCUAUCGGGCCUGUAGUUAUUGUAUAUCAUUUCUUUGUGGAAUGUCAUUAACAAAGCGCAGAUAAAAGCGUCAAUUAGGCGCUGAGCGUGUCUUUAGCUCGGGAUAUUGCUUUGGAAAUGUAGCGAGGCUUUCAAAGUCAACACACUUGUCGUUUGAGCAGGACUUCAGUCUUGUUUCUAUGGUGAUGCAACACAGUAGAUAGGGUUUUCCUUCAUCUUCUGUUCCUUGUCUUGUCAGUGGGGUUUCUAUAACAAAUGGGACUGUUUGCAGGUAUUCAGCAGGUGUGGAAAGUACACCAGUGAUGAGAUAUUCCUUAUCGACCGCAGAGCUGAUGAUUGUGUUCCACUGGCGCCACGAAGUCCCGUGAGAGUGACGACGCUGCCUGGUGUCAUACGGGCCGAGCUUUGGACCAAUACCAGCGACACUAUCAGAACCGAAUCGCACAUGGUUAACCAUACCCUCACCAUCACCCCCUGGCGCUCUAGAAAGGUCAUGCCAAUUAUCCACAUGAACCAGGGAGUCACAGGAGAAAAAUAUUGCUUCCGAAUAUCCGGACAAGAGGAGAUAAAUUGAAUACAUUAGGUCUACUGCCACGACGGAGAGAUCUUGCUUUUCCUCUCACCCUCUUAUUGUACAACGCUCCUCGGUGGCCCACGAUCAGCAG